rfam:Schistosoma mattheei strain Denwood, Zambia genome assembly, scaffold: SMTD_scaffold0000075
AUUCAGCCGACGAGUCUCAAAUGGGACGAAGCGUGCGUCCUGGAU